rnacentral:lncRNA from 1 species
CAACAAUAAUAAUAGUAGUAGUAGUAGUAGUAGUAGUAGUAGUAGUAGUAGUAGUAGUAGUAUUAAUAAUAAUAAUAAUAAUAAUAAUAAUAAUAAUAAUAAUGAUGAUGAUAAUAAUAAUAAUAACAAUAACAAUAACGAUGGUAAAAAUUACUGUGGUAGUUAAUAAUUGAUCACUGUUUAAGUAUUGUCUGAUUGUAUCGCAUCGAUAACAUAUUAUGGGUACUGGUACGAAAUCAUUGUAUGCAUAUAUGUAUGAAUAUUGAUGUUACGUACGACUCACUCGUUGAACGCAAGUAUGUAAUAUACAGUAUAUAAAUGUGUGUAUGGAUACGGAUAUAGAUAUACAGGUCUACAUACAUGUGCAUGUAUUCAAGGGUGUCCCAUAUUUAGGUUGUUGACGAAUUUUUUAACGUAUAUCCCCCGAAAUCAUUUUCAAAUAAUUCAAAAAGAGUUGCCUAAUUUCUUCAUAUUUUUUAUCUCAACUCUAAUCCGUGCCGACAACAGGGUGAACUUUGCUAUUUAAAAUACACGUGUUUUCGGACACAUUUCUAGCAUGUAUUGUAUUGUAUGAGUAUGCAAUUCUUCGCGCUUGCAUGGUACGAUGAUGUGAAUUUUACUCUCAGUCAGUAGCACCGAUGAUCGCUAAAACUUCGCAGUUACAGAUUUUUUCUUUUUUUUUUUUUUUACCCUUACAAUGAAUUAUCUACUGAAAAUGUGUUCGUCGAAACACGUGUGUUUUCUUUUAAAUGAGAAAAUCCACCCUGUUGUCGGGACGGGUUAGAGUUUAGAUAAAAAUCUAAAUAAAAUUGGGCAAUCGGUUUUGAAUUGUUUGAAAAGGAUUCGGUAUGUAUGCGUUGUAAAAAUAUGUCAACAACCUAUAUACGAAACACUCUAAUAUACAUGUAUACGCAUAUGCAUAUAUGCAUAUAUACAUGAAACGAUAAUCAUUAAUGUAACGUUAAUUAUCAUUAUAUCUGUGGAUAGAUAGACAUAUUUAGAGUGAAUGUUUGCACGUUUAAUUUUGUACGCGUACCGAUGGUGAAUUGAGGAGCGAGGAAACGAGCUGAUGGAAAAACGAUACUUCACCACAAACAGACAGACCAAAUACUGCGAGAAUAUUAUCUCUCUUACGAUUUACACAAUGUACACGCAAAAUACUCCGUAGGUAUACAGGUAUACAUAUUGUUGUUGUUGUUGGUGUUGUUGUUGUUGUUAUUAUUAUUACUACUACUACUAUUACUACUACUACUACUACUACUACUACUAUCAUUAUUAUCAUAGGUAUACGUGGAUAUGUUGGGGAAUGGGAGAUUAUGAUAACAAAAAAAAAAAAGUGUGAACGUUGUAAUAAUUGUGUCAGUUUUAACCAGUGUGUCAAUUUCUAUGUGCAGUUGUCAGUGGAGAAAGUAUAUAAAUAUUGCUCAAAAGAAACAAACGGGGAAAAAAAUAAAUAAAAAAUAAACAAACGAAUGAAAUGAACCGACGAGAGGGGGAAAAAAAGUGAAAAUGUUACGCGAAAAAAAGCAAAAAAAAAGAGAAAAAGAAAUUAAGAAAAUGAAAUAAAAACAACUAUGUUUAAUAUACGUGUGUGUAUUUGAAUGGAAAUGGAACGCUAACGAAGCUAAACGAAAUUAUGCAAAACGAAACGAAACGUACAUACAUUAUUGUAAACUUGGUAGAAGAAAGAGAUCGUAAGAAAUAGCGCAUAAGCAGUUGAAAAAUAAUGAA